UGAACGCUAGCUACAGGCUUAACACAUGCAAGUCGAGGGGCAUCAGGAAGAAAGCUUGCUUUCUUUGCUGGCGACCGGCGCACGGGUGAGUAACACGUAUCCAACCUGCCCUUUACUCGGGGAUAGCCUUUCGAAAGAAAGAUUAAUACCCGAUAGCAUAAUGAUUCCGCAUGGUUUCAUUAUUAAAGGAUUCCGGUAAAGGAUGGGGAUGCGUUCCAUUAGGUUGUUGGUGAGGUAACGGCUCACCAAGCCUUCGAUGGAUAGGGGUUCUGAGAGGAAGGUCCCCCACAUUGGAACUGAGACACGGUCCAAACUCCUACGGGAGGCAGCAGUGAGGAAUAUUGGUCAAUGGGCGCUAGCCUGAACCAGCCAAGUAGCGUGAAGGAUGAAGGCUCUAUGGGUCGUAAACUUCUUUUAUAUAAGAAUAAAGUGCAGUAUGUAUACUGUUUUGUAUGUAUUAUAUGAAUAAGGAUCGGCUAACUCCGUGCCAGCAGCCGCGGUAAUACGGAGGAUCCGAGCGUUAUCCGGAUUUAUUGGGUUUAAAGGGAGCGUAGGUGGACUGGUAAGUCAGUUGUGAAAGUUUGCGGCUCAACCGUAAAAUUGCAGUUGAUACUGUCAGUCUUGAGUACAGUAGAGGUGGGCGGAAUUCGUGGUGUAGCGGUGAAAUGCUUAGAUAUCACGAAGAACUCCGAUUGCGAAGGCAGCUCACUGGACUGCAACUGACACUGAUGCUCGAAAGUGUGGGUAUCAAACAGGAUUAGAUACCCUGGUAGUCCACACAGUAAACGAUGAAUACUCGCUGUUUGCGAUAUACAGUAAGCGGCCAAGCGAAAGCAUUAAGUAUUCCACCUGGGGAGUACGCCGGCAACGGUGAAACUCAAAGGAAUUGACGGGGGCCCGCACAAGCGGAGGAACAUGUGGUUUAAUUCGAUGAUACGCGAGGAACCUUACCCGGGCUUAAAUUGCAGUGGAAUGAUGUGGAAACAUGUCAGUGAGCAAUCACCGCUGUGAAGGUGCUGCAUGGUUGUCGUCAGCUCGUGCCGUGAGGUGUCGGCUUAAGUGCCAUAACGAGCGCAACCCUUAUCUUCAGUUACUAACAGGUCAUGCUGAGGACUCUGGAGAGACUGCCGUCGUAAGAUGUGAGGAAGGUGGGGAUGACGUCAAAUCAGCACGGCCCUUACGUCCGGGGCUACACACGUGUUACAAUGGGGGGUACAGAAGGCAGCUAGCGGGUGACCGUAUGCUAAUCCCAAAAGCCUCUCUCAGUUCGGAUCGAAGUCUGCAACCCGACUUCGUGAAGCUGGAUUCGCUAGUAAUCGCGCAUCAGCCACGGCGCGGUGAAUACGUUCCCGGGCCUUGUACACACCGCCCGUCAAGCCAUGGGAGCCGGGGGUACCUGAAGUACGUAACCGCAAGGAUCGUCCUAGGGUAAAACUGGUGAUUGGGGCUAA
rnacentral:rRNA from 1 species